rnacentral:tRNA from 1 species
CGGGGCGUAGCGCAGCCUGGUAGCGCAUCUGCUUGUAGGAGCAGAGGGUCGUGAGUUCGAGUCCCACCGCCCCGACCA